rnacentral:lncRNA from 1 species
CCUGCAGGAGCAAUUUGCUUCUUUGAGAGGGUCUGUGGAUCCUCUUGGGAUUGCUGGAUUGUUCUUGCAGUCAAUCUGGAGCUAGAAUUCACAGCGUGAGCUUCCACACGCUGCUCUGUUCAGAGCUGUAAUCUAGUCCUGUCUCCUGUCUGCCAUGAUGAUCCAUCACAGAUUUUGUUGAGAGAUGCAGAUUCAGAAGCAAUAAGGAACCCCCAUCAGUCCUGAGAGGCUGCUGUGUGGUCAGUUCCUC